CCAUCCUAAUGGAAUCGUUUUGGGAACUGGAAGAGGUAACACAAAUGAGAGCCUUAAAGCAGUCCCUGUCACUUGGUGACUGGUGGUCUCUUGUUAAUUUCCCACGAAGGACCGGGUGGGGUCAGAGCUCCAGCUGCAGGGGCCUCGGCCCUUCUCCCUGAUCCCUGCAGGACGCUGGAUGAUCCCGGAAGCCUUCUGACCUCUUUUUAGGAGAGCGAGGGUUGCGUCCACUUUCAUGAAGGGAAAGGAGCAUUUAACUUUUAUGGGGGACGGCGACGCGGUCAAGGUGUUUCACAGCUUUCUCGUUCCCCAACCCGACCUUUCCAGAAGAGCUGCAGGGAGGGACUUCUUGGCUUCUGAGGGCAAAGCUCUACCUGAAUACCACUAGAAACAUACCUGUAACCAGAGACAGCUGAUUAUAGCUUUCUGCAGCAAGGAAGCCCACGUACCAGGGGCUGUCUUGGCACAAUUCUGCUUUCCCAGGAACUGCAUCACUCAGGACUCUGCAAG
rnacentral:lncRNA from 1 species